UUUCGCAAUGCCCGAAAGGGUGACGAAGCGACGCCGCGUGUGGGAAGAAGGCCUUCGGGUUGUAAACCGCUGUUGGGAGUUAGGAAGUGUGGGAGUGUUAAUAGCGCUUCCACUUGACUAAAGCUCCAGAGGAAGCCACGGCUAACUCUGUGCCAGCAGCCGCGGUAAUACAGAGGCGGCAAGCGUUGUUCGGAAUUACUGGGCGUAAAGAGCACGUAGGCGGCUCUGCAAGUCAGCUGUGAAAGCCUUCUGCUUAACGGAAGAACAGCAGUUGAAGCUACAGGGCUUGAGUGCGGGAGGGGAGAGUGGAACUUCUGGUGGAGCGGUGAAAUGCGUAGAUAUCAGAAGGAACGCCGGCGGCGAAAGCGGCUCUCUGGUCCGUAACUGACGCUGAGUGUGCGAAAGCUAGGGGAGCAAACGGGAUUAGAUACCCCGGUAGUCCUAGCCGUAAACGAUGGGCACUAAGUAGAGGGGUUUU
rnacentral:rRNA from 1 species